UUUACAGUUUACAGAAUGAUAAAUUUUUUGAAAACUUUGAAUGCUAAUAUCUCAAUUUUUUAAGAGAAAAUUAUACUAAGCAACUUAUUUAAAACCCACGGGUGCAAAUUUUUAGCAGAAACGUGGAUAUGCACAUGACCCCUUGCAAUCCCUCCCCCCUGCAGUUACGGAUCUGCUGCUUUGAACUUAAAGGGUGUAUGUUAUGUUGCAUUAUUUUAAUUGUUCAUAAUAUUUUCAAAAAUGAACCAAUUAGAGGAAAGAUUGAAUUUAUUUUUUGGGAAAGUAAGUUUAAGAUUAAAAGGACUCAUCAUUAUUUCAAUUUAAAACUUAAAUAUAAAUAUUUUUAUAGAUAUCUUUUGCACGACUUUGCUGGAUUUUUGAAAAUCGCAAUUUAGAAACUUGAAAACGUAAAAUUGCCAAAGACUGAUUGGGCAUGGAAGACCGCAUGGUUGUGGGUUAUGGCUUAUGGCAUGGCUAAAAUUGUUGCAGCAUAUGGCCGCCUGCCUUCUCCCGUUCCUUGCACACUGCACUACACAGAUCUACGGAUUGAUUUAUCCUCUAGUUUAAAAGUGUUCACAUUGGAUAUCGAUAUCAAGCGUCACCACACUAAUGUUACAACCUCAGCUCUGUUAACUGACUGGUAUCAGUAUUCAAGAUUAUUGGAUUAUUGGAUUGUUCUUGAGAUGCUAAACCUGAUUGAAAAUAGUGUGCUCAAUAAAUCUUCUUACUUUA